GAGACCCACGCCAACAGUUGCCAGCAUGUCCUCCGGGAUGGUGGGGACACUGUUGGGACCGCCUCUGCUAAAGAGGAGGAAGGAAUGGGCAACGGUAGGUCAGCAUGCCCCGAAUUAUCCGGGCUACACGCGGGCUACAAUGGUCAGGACAAUGGGUAUCGACACCGAGAGGUGAAGGCAAUCUCUUAAACCUGUCCUUAGUUCGGAUUGUGGGCUGCAACUCGCCCACAUGAAGCUGGAAUCCGUAGUAAUCGCGUCUCAAAAUGGCGCGGUGAAUAU
rnacentral:rRNA from 1 species